GCGUUGUCCGGAUUUAUUGGGCGUAAAGCGAGCGCAGGCGGUUCUUUAAGUCUGAUGUGAAAGCCCCCGGCUCAACCGGGGAGGGUCAUUGGAAACUGGGGAACUUGAGUGCAGAAGAGGAGAGUGGAAUUCCAUGUGUAGCGGUGAAAUGCGUAGAUAUAUGGAGGAACACCAGUGGCGAAGGCGGCUCUCUGGUCUGUAACUGACGCUGAGGCUCGAAAGCGUG
rnacentral:rRNA from 1 species